rnacentral:misc_RNA from 1 species
CCCAAAAAACAAAAGAAGCCCCAUAAACCCAGAAGCCCCACCGCCCCAUUCCUAGCUCGCCGGAAUCUCAUGAAGCCCUAAAAGUUAACUCCGAGAGCUCUUCAAGCUCUCUAAUUUUUUCCUCUUUUUCCGUAAGGUGAUAGAAAGGCAGGGAGAGAUUGUUCUUAUAUAUAUCGACAAAUGUACGUGGUGCCGCCAUCUCACCGAUCAGAUCUGGGAUCAGCUGGCUGCGGGUCUGGUGANUUUACGGGUCUAUCAAACUUGGAAAGGCAGUAAUAUAUUUUUUCUUCAAGGAAGAUUUAUAUUUGGACCAGAUGUAAGAUCACUUGCACUGACUAUAUUCCUGAUUGUUGCUCCAGUUUCAGUUUUCUGUCUCUUUGUUGCUAGAAAACUGAUGGAUGAUUUUUCUGAUCACUUGGGAGUAUCAAUAAUGGUCGUUGCUGCUGUAUUCACCGUAUAUGUUUUAGUUCUUCUCCUGCUAACCUCUGGAAGAGAUCCUGGCAUAAUUCCCCG